AGCGCCCGUGCGGCUGCGCCCGGCCGGGCUGCAGGCUCAGCCAAUUGCUCUGCUACGACUUGUUAGAAGAGCUGUGCCAUUUCUGCUGUGAAUCUUUGCGACACUAAGCUUCCUUGCUGCAUUUUCAAGAUGACUUAUUCUGGCUGUUAGCUACCUCCAGAACUGUUACACUAGAAGAUCCUGGCUGGAUUUGAAAGCCCUUUGGAUGACUUGACCUGAAAGCAUGUGCCUUAGCUGAGAGUCCUCUGCAAGUCCCAUCUGAAUCCACUGAGAAGUCUGGCCACUCAAAACAUGAAUUUUCCAGAGAAUUAACUGAAAAGAAAAAAAAAAGGAAGAAUGCUCAUGACUCUAAUGACGGAAUGACAGAAUAAUUUUUCUACAAGAAAUUCACACAGAUGACACAAGUAUUUGCUGUUAAUGUCUUUGGGUCAGAUCAUUGCAUGAUACAAAUUGCAAUAUACCUUUAUGUAACUCAGUCUUUCUCUUUCAAUUGAUUCUUCAGAGAUUUUCUAUGAAGUGUCUCCAUCUGCACAAAAAACCUAAUGAGGCUAUGGUCAUGCCAAAAUGUACUAACAGGAUACAGGCUGGGAUCUUCAGUGGGUGGAAGUCAGUCUAUCUCCAUUAUUUAAAUGGUUUAUAUAGGCAUGAACUGCAUAUGCAUUUCAGCAAGGACUUCCAGCCAGGUAAUUCUCAUUCUUACCUGUUCCUUUCUCCAAAACAGCCCAAAAAACUCAAUCUGUGGCAUUCAGCAAUUGCUAGAUGACAAGUGCAAGACCAGAAACGCCUCAGCAAGCCUAAGAUUCACUGGGUAGGUAAAGGAGGCUGUACAGAAGUGCCCUUUCCAGGAUUUUGAUGGGAAGCAUGAAGAGGCCAAAUUCUUCUUUGCUCGCAUGCUGACUUUUCACUCUAGGUUUCCUACUCAAAGGUCUUCUGAGCACAAGGCAGCAUAAAUGAAAAUAUACCAAACUACUGGUAGAAAUAUAUACACCCCUUAGCUGUUAUUAAGAAAGGUCUGUACAAUGAGCAGGGAUCAGACCUCGCUAUAGGAAAUACAUAUUUCAUGUGCAAGUAUGCCAGUUAAUAUCUUUUGGUCUGAAAAGCAAAACAAAUAUGUUACAUUCUAUUGUCCAGAAAACCA